rnacentral:rRNA from 1 species
UACGAAUGUGGCGAGCGUUGUUCGGAAUCACUGGGCGUAAAGAGUACGUAGGCGGUUUAGCAAGUCAGGAGUGAAAUCCCCGGGCUCAACCCGGGAACUGCUUUUGAAACUGCUAGACUAGAAGCUCGGAGAGGUUGGCGGAAUUCUCAGUGUAGAGGUGAAAUUCGCAGAUAUUGAGAGGAACACCAGUGGCGUAAGCGGCCAACUGGACGAGUAUUGACGCUGAGGUACGAAAGCGUGGGGAUCAAACAGG